rnacentral:rRNA from 1 species
UUGGGAAUUUUGGGCAAUGGGCGAAAGCCUGACCCAGCGACGCCGCGUGUGGGAUGAAGGCCUUCGGGUCGUAAACCACUGUCAGGGGGGAAGAAGCCCGCACUCGUUGCGGGUGACGGUACCCUCAGAGGAAGCCCCGGCUAACUACGUGCCAGCAGCCGCGGUAAGACGUAGGGGGCGAGCGUUGUCCGGAUUUACUGGGCGUAAAGCGCGUGCAGGCGGCCUGUCAAGUCUCGUGUGAAAGCCUUCGGCUCAACCGGAGGAGGUCGCGGGAUACUGGCGGGCUUGAGGAUGGUAGAGGGUGGUAGAAUUCCCGGUGUAGCGGUGAAAUGCGUAGAUAUCGGGAGGAAUGCCAGUGGCGAAGGCGGCCACCUGGGCCAUCCCUGACGCUGAGACGCGAAAGCUGGGGGAGCGAACGGG